AAGUCGUAACAAGGUUUCCGUAGGUGAACCUGCGGAAGGAUCAUUAACACUUUACAUCCACGUGCCUAAACAUCCGUUUAUGGCAUAACACCCCCUUUUAAGCGAACUAAGUCGGGAUGGAAUCAAUUGUCUCGCAAGAGAUGAUGAUUUCCAUUUCCGUCAUUUUUUUCUCUUUGUUUUUCUUAUUCCAUUUUUUAAACCCAAUUGAAAUUUCUAGACUGAAACUUUGUUGCACUGGGAGAAAUCCCUUGUUGCAUCGAAAAAAACAAAACGCUAUACAACUCUUAACAACGGAUAUCUUGGUUCUC
rnacentral:misc_RNA from 1 species